AAAACAACGUUCUACUAAACUCGACACUGCUUGUUUUCUUAAGCUCGAUGAAAUCCGGGAAUAGGCACGCGUCUUUUCAUUACAACGUGGAGUUGCCUGCGUAAUCGUUUUUGUUAAUUAUCACGUCGACCACCAAGUUUUUCUUUUGUUUACAUCGGCGAAGUGGUAGUAUUUAAACUUUAUAUAAAUUCUAAGACGAUUCAGUUUCAAAAUUUUUGUUAAAAUUAAUACGUGCGUGUACCUCGAUUUAUAUUUCUCCAAUCAAAAUUAAAAUUUCGAUGUUGAUCUUAAAUUAUUUUUGAAGUGGUGUUCUUAAUCCGAAAAAAUUUUUUAGAUUUUUUUUUCUUUUAACACUGUACACGUUAUUCGACAAUUUUUGUUUAGUCCAAAAUUUUUUUCUUUGAAAAAUUAAGAACAUUAAUUAGUUUAUUUACAAUUGUUUUAUAUUUAUAAUUCACAAUAUUUAUAUUUUAUUUACUUUGUAUAUUUUUAGAAAUAAAUAAUUAUGCAAAUAAUUUGUAAAGAUGUUAAAGAUAUGUAAGAGUUACUGAAAAAUUUUUGUGUAAGAGUAAUGAAAAUUCACUCAGAAAUGGCCCAAAGGUGAAGAUAUUGAAAAGCAAUGUUUGUACAGAAGAUAAAAUUUCUUUUACUUUAAAGAGCUUUAAUAAGCAAGUAAUUUAUUAAUAAAAUUCCCUGUUAUUAUCACCAUCAUAUAUUUUCUAUAUUUUUUUUGAAUAAUAAAACCGUGAUUUUUCUUUAAUUUUAUUUUCCAGAAAAUUAAAAACGUACCUUAGCAUCUCAGUAUCCUAAUAAUUUUUGCCGCAUUUUUCAGAAAAGACUGGAAAAAUCCGUCUUUACGAUUUUAUUUUUUUAGAAAAUUAAGAACUUACUAAUAUCUGAUUAUCAUUAUUUUUUGUAUUUUUUGGAAGAAAUAAAAAAUUGAAGUUUUUCCACAAUUUUAUUUUGUCAAAAUUAAGAAUUUUAAUAUUUCAUUAUCACAGUCGUAUUUUUCCGUAUUUUUUGAAGAACAAAUAAAAAACCCGGAGUUUUUUCCUCAACUUUAUUUUUUCAAAAAACUGAAAAUACGUGUUGGUACAUCAUCACUGUUGUUUUUUUUGUAUUUUUCAAAAAAGGAAAAAACCCAUUGUUUUUUAAAUUUUGUUUUUUGGGGAAAUUAAGAACAAGCUAUUCAAAGUAAUCUUCAAGAUUUAGAUAUAAAGUUUGAUGUUGAAAUUUUGAGACUGAAUGAAAAAGCUCAAUUUUGAAUUUCUCUCCAUCGAAGUAUUUGACGAUGCACUGUGCAACAAUUCCCGGAUUAAAUAGAUUUAUCUACCCAUGUAGCACAAAAAUUGCAGUUACAUUACAUCAAUGUUGCAACAAGGUUGCAAAAUUGCAGCAAUAUUGCUACAAUGUAAUUGCAAUUUUUGUGCUAUGUGGGCUAUUGAAUUUGCAUGCUGUAUUCGAAAUCUGCCUUCUGUAAUUUUGCCAAUCUCGCGCUUUUGGUAAUUAUGCUAACAAUGUUGCAAUAAAUGACAAUUUAGCAAGCAAUAUAAAAUUUGUAUGGUUAUCCUGCCGAAAAUUUGUUGUUAAUUUCUAACAUAUAAUAGCGCUAGAUAAAAUGCAAUUUGUCUGCUUUAUUUCAAAGUUUAAAACUGGCUUAAUUGUAUGUACAAACACUUAUGUUUAAGUGUACUCUGUAACUGUCGCAUAACACGUAGAAUCGAGAUUCAAACACACAUCGAAAUUGAUUUCGUCUCAGCCGGUGGCUUUGCCAUGUCGGGAUCAGAUAUCGAAGUGCGCGGAAAUGGUCUCCGUGUUUGUUCGCCAAAUCGAUACACAAAACGAGCGGUGUGCUUGUAACGUUGGAAAUUUUUUCUUACCUAAACUAUAUACCAUACUCGAUCUCACACGUUUCGCACAAACUCUUGUCCUGAUUUUGCGGCGCUAACUUACCGUUUGACGAGAGAUUUUUAUUGUCAUGUACUGACACCUGUAUGUUGUGUGUUAGAUUAUUGUAACGACCCAGUCGACACAGUUAUAUUACUUAUAUUAUAUAUUCAUUAUACACAUAAUAGUUAUAAGAUUAAGUAUCAUAUCUUGUAUAAUGUGAGACUUGAGGUAUGUUGUUUUCGGAAAUUUAUCCAAAACUUGCUGUAAUGUUAUAGUUAUAUUUUUGCUCUUUUACUAUAUAUAUUAACGUCUACGUAGUUCUAAUGAUUAAAGUCUAUAUAUUAAAGUCUAUAUAUCACAUACUCUCUUGUUUUAUAAAUAAUAUGUAGUAUUUGCACAUUUAUAAUGAAAAGAAGCAAUUAAUAAAGAUACAAGUAACUGUGAUAUGUGUGUGUGUGUGCAUAAAAAUAUAUUUGUUGUUAUUAGUAAUGUUCCUAUAUAUAUAUAAUGUAUAUACACAGCAAUUGCAAAUUGUCGACUGGGGAGUAAUUAUGUCGAAUCUGUAAGAAACUUGGCCACGAUUGGGGCGUAUGCCGCGUAUUGCAUGUUGUGCGAAGUGACUCUGGUGAACGCAUCGUUUGUCUCUGAUGCACGCCCACGGGCAUGUUGAAUCAACAAGUACGUACAUUCGUAGGGAAGUCGAUAUGCACCAGAUGUUUCGCAUGAUUCAGUUUGAGACUGACGAAUAGCUCGGUGUAGGUAUGACGUGUCGAGCUGAGUUCGACUCUCACGUUGAACACAAAUCUUGAUGAACAAUUUUCUCAGAGUUUUUAUGCAAACUGAAACACUUUUCAGAAAUAUACAGAAAAUCUACAUCUUCUGAGAAUUUUUCAUAUAUGUAAAUUUAUCCCUAGGUAGACACCUAUAUUUUUGAUAGCUUUAGAAACCGAAAACUUCAUUGUUUAAUAACAAUGUUUAAUAAAAUGUUUAAUAACAUAGUUUAAUAAAAAUUUAAUAACACUAAUGAUCCAGAUGACAAUUCGUGCGGGGUCAUGUUUUCUUCACGGCGUGAUUAUCACACCGUGCACGAAUGCAUCAUGCUCGCUUCACGAAGUGAUUUUGGCAUACGUGCGCGCAUAGAAAGUGCACUAUGCCAUCAUGCGCAUAGAUCGCACUAUGCCAUCAUGGUACAGUGAUUACGCACACGGAUGGCAUAGUGAACACACACAAUAUUUAACAUUACCUAAGAUUAAAAAUUUUAUAGAAGAAAAAAAUAUUGGUUUUUUUUUAAGGAACGGAAAAAUUUUAGGUAUUAGGUAUAUAUAUUAUAAUAUCUGCGUGCGAUUUAUUAUAUUAUAAUAUUUAAUAACAAAAUGCCCGCAUAGCAAUUAAAAUAGCAUUUAUAAUUGUAUUAAUAUAGAAAAGCUUUUGUUGUUAUAGGUUGAAAAUGAAAUAAUGAUAAUAAUAUAUUACGGUAUAUGUUGAAACUUUUGUUAAAUAUUUUCUGUUGUACUAAGAAAUGUUGUAUUAACAUAUGAUUAAAAGAACUAGUUGAAAAUGCAAUAGCUCGUAUAAUAACAUUGUAUAAAUCAUAUUUUUAACAAUUACAUUUUGUUAAAUAGCAUGAAAAAUGCGAAUAUCUUUUCAUAGUGUUGAAACUUGCAUUAUUUCUAGAAACAUUUUUAGUUGUAGAUGACAUGUUUCGUAUUUUAUAUGUAUAAAUUUAUAAAAUUUUGAGUGUCCUUAAUAUAAGGAUUAUCUUUAUGAUGUUUUGUGUAAAAA